GAUGAAGAACGUAGUGAAAUGCGAUACGUAAUGUGAAUUGCAGAAUUCAGUGAAUCAUCGAAUCUUUGAACGCAUAUUGCGCUCUCUGGUAUUCCGGAGAGCAUGCUUGUUUGAGUAUCAGUAAACACCUCAACUUCCAUAUCUUUUUUGAAAUGGGAGUUGGACUUGAGUGAUCCCAACGCUUUUCCUCACCGAAAAGUGGCGGGUUACUUGAAAUGCAGGUGCAGCUGGACUUUUCUCUGAGCUAUAAGCAUAUCUAUUUAGUCUGCCUAAAAAACAGAUUAUUACCUUUGCUGCAGCUAACAUAAAGGAGAUUAGUUCUUGUGCUGACUGAUGCAGGAUUCACAAAAACGGCUUCGGCCGACUUUGUAAACUCGAUCUCAAAUCAAGUAAGACUACCCGCUGAACUUAAGCAUAUCAAUAAGCGGAGA
rnacentral:misc_RNA from 1 species